AAGACAAUUAAUAAACUAAACUCACAGUGGGCAAGGCAUGUAGUUUCAUGCCGUCCCCAGCAGCAUCGGGUUAAAGACCUCAGAUUUUUUGUAACGUCGAGUAAGAAGAUUAUUUUUAAAUACCGUAAAGUCCCACAUUGUUGGAAGGUGUGAUUAAAAGGGAUAAUAAAGGGAAAAAAAAAGAAAGAAAAGAAACAGAAUAAAGAUGAAAAUAUAUAUUGAGUUAGAUAGCAUGAAGGAUAUUGUUUUUCCUUUCAGAGAGGGAGGAGGAAGAGAGCAAAAGGGAAGAGGAAGGAAGGAAGAAAGGUUCAGGGUCCACUGAGUCUCCGCUAAAAAUCAAUGACGAGAUCACCAUUAUUCCGCAGCCUGCGUCCAAAAACACCAAACCAGACAAGCCAGCGCCCACAAAGAAGGGAGAAAGCACGCAGCCAACAGUCAGUAAGGAGAUCACCAUCACCAAAGUGGGCUCGCGACCCACGCGGCGCAGCGGGGGAAGCAGCGUGGAGGUGAUCAGCCUAGACGAGUCGCCCACCAAGAACGACGCGGCGAAGAAGCGCUCGAGCAAGGACAACCUCUCCAGCAACCCCAAGAGGGCACGAACCAGUAGCUAAUCAAUGGCAGUGGUGUUGGUGAAGUGUGUAAAAAGGGGGGGGCCAGUCAGUUCCCCCUUUUAUUUGAGGAAGUGCGAAAGGCGAGUGAGGAAAAGGAAAGGAAAUAAGAGAGGUAGAGAGAGAGAGAGAUUUAUAUAUACAUAUAUACAUAUACAUAUACAAGUGGUGAUGAGUGACAGAAAGAAAGUGCUCAGAGAUAGUUUUUUUUUUUUUUUUUUUCUAUCUUUCUUUUUUUUUAUUAUUAUUAUUAUUAUUAUCAUUAUUAUAUAAUCUCUCAUCUCUCUUCUCUUGUCUCUCACUCUGCUUUCAAAAUAAAAUAAAAAUAAACAAUGACGAGCCAGUGGUUUGUUGGUUUGUGCUUGUGCGUGUAUAAAAUGGAGAGCUCUUAGGGGGUGAAAUAUACGAUAAACGAGUGACAAGGAAGAGAUCAUAACGACGACUGGGAAAAUGAGAAAAAGAUCAUUGUAGAGGACGAGGGAAAGCGACAUUACAGGCCCCUAGAGGCAGGUGGAGCGAGAGAGGGGUGUGCCACUGUGACUUCUGUACUAAUGUAUAUUUAAAGAAAAAGGAAAAACUCCCAAAACAAAAAAAAUCCAAAAAAAAAAUCCAAAAAAAAAAAAAAAAAAAAAAAAAAAACGAAAACGAAAAAAAAAAAAAGAAGUAAUAUUUAUAAAAGUGCUGGUGUGAGAAUGCAGGUAUUGCUACAGACAGGAGAAAAAAAAAAAAAGUUUUGGUUGGCUAAUACUGCCUUCUCGUUCUUGCUUCAAAGUGCGUUUACUUUAUACAAUAUAUUGUAUUUACUUCACACAGAUUUCACUGGGGAGAGAAACUAUGGUUGGAGAGGCCACUUUACAAUAAAAAAAAAAGCAAACAAAAA